rnacentral:rRNA from 1 species
AGCGAACGCUGGCGGCAGGCCUAAUACAUGCAAGUCGAGCGCCCGGGGCAACCCGGGAGCGGCAGACAGGUGAGUAACACGUGGGACCAUGCCCUUCGGUUCGGACUAACUCGGGGAAACCCGUGCUAAUACCGGAUACGUCCGUAAGGAGAAAGAUUUAUCGCCGAAGGAUUGGCCCGCGUCUGAUUAGCUAGUUGGUGGGGUAAUGGCCCACCAAGGCGACGAUCGGUAGCUGGUCUGAGAGGAUGAUCAGCCACACUGGGACUGAGACACGGCCCAGACUCCUACGGGAGGCAGCAGUAGGGAAUAUUGGACAAUGGGCGCAAGCCUGAUCCAGCCAUGCCGCGUGGGUGAUGAAGGCCCUAGGGUUGUAAAGCCCUUUCGGCGGGGAAGAUAAUGACGGUACCCGCAGAAGAAGCCCCGGCUAACUUCGUGCCAGCAGCCGCGGUAA